AGUGAACGCUGGCGGUAGGCCUAACACAUGCAAGUCGAACGGAAGCACAGUAAGAGUUUGCUCUUACGGGUGGCGAGUGGCGGACGGGUGACGAAUACAUCGGAAUCUUCUUUUUCGUGGGGGAUAACGUAGGGCAACUUACGCUAAUACCGCAUAUGACCUACGGGUGAAAGCAGGGGAUAUUCGCACCUUGCGCGAUAGAUUGAGCCGAUGUCGCAGUACCUAGUUGGUCAGGUAACGGCUCAACAAGGCGACGAUGAGUAGCUGACCGGAGAGGAUGAUCGGCCACAAGGGAACUGAGACACGGUCCAGACGCCGACGGGAGGAAGCAGUAGGGAAUCGUCCGGAAUGGGGGAAAGCCUGACGGAGAAACGCCGAGUGAGGGAUGAAGGUCUUCGGAUCGUAAAACUCUGUUAUUAGGGAAGAACAAAUGUGUAAGUAACUAUGCACGUCUUGAAGGUACCUAAUCAGAAAGCCAAGGCUAACGACGUG
rnacentral:rRNA from 1 species